AAACAUUUCUUUUUGGUUUUUUGAAAAGUAUCCCCUGCCCUAUGGUGUUUUCUAAAUGGCUGCAGUAUUUUGACUGUGCAAAGGUAGCAUAGUAAUUAGCUUCUUAAUUAGGAGCUUGUAUGAAAGGGUUAAUGAAAAAUUAGUUUUAUUUAAUUUAAUAUUAAAAUUUAAAUUUUAAGUUAAAAUGCUUAAGGAGUUUCUUGGGACGAUAAGACCCUAUAGAACUUUACUAUUAAAAAUUUCUAUUAAUUAUUUAUAUAAUAAAUUUUUAAAUUAGAAAUUUAAUAGUUUUGCUGGGGUGGUUAAUAAAUUUUAAACUUUAUUAUUUUUAAUUCAUUUAUUUAUGUUAAUUAAUUUAUAAUGAUCCCUUAUUAGGAUUAAUAGACAUAGUUACCUUAGGGAUAACAGCGUAAUAAUAAUGGGGAGUCCACAUCUAUAUUAAUUUUUGCGACCUCGAUGUUGAAUUAAGAAAACUUUUAGAAGCAGAAUUCUUAUUAGUAGGUCUGUUCGACCUUUAAAUUCUUACAUGAUCUG
rnacentral:rRNA from 1 species